rnacentral:rRNA from 1 species
UCGACGAUGAAUCUUCUAGCUUGCUAGAAGUGGAUUAGUGGCGCACGGGUGAGUAAUGCAUAGGUUAUGUGCCCUUUAGUCUGGGAUAGCCACUGGAAACGGUGAUUAAUACUGGAUACUCCCUACGGGGGAAAGUUUUUCGCUAAAGGAUCAGCCUAUGUCCUAUCAGCUUGUUGGUGAGGUAAUGGCUCACCAAGGCUAUGACGGGUAUCCGGCCUGAGAGGGUGAUCGGACACACUGGAACUGAGACACGGUCCAGACUCCUACGGGAGGCAGCAGUAGGGAAUAUUGCUCAAUGGGGGAAACCCUGAAGCAGCAACGCCGCGUGGAGGAUGAAGGUUUUAGGAUUGUAAACUCCUUUUGUUAGAGAAGAUUAUGACGGUAUCUAACGAAUAAGCACCGGCUAACUCCGUGCCAGCAGCCGCGGUAAUACGGAGGGUGCAAGCGUUACUCGGAAUCACUGGGCGUAAAGAGUGCGUAGGCGGGGUAAUAAGUCAGAUGUGAAAUCCUGUAGCUUAACUACAGAACUGCAUUUGAAACUGUUACUCUGGAGUGUGGGAGAGGUAGGUGGAAUUCUUGGUGUAGGGGUAAAAUCCGUAGAGAUCAAGAGGAAUACUCAUUGCGAAGGCGACCUGCCGGAACAUUACUGACGCUGAUGCACGAAAGCGUGGGGAGCAAACAGGAUUAGAUACCCUGGUAGUCCACGCCCUAAACGAUGGAUGCUAGUUGUUGCCUUGCUUGUCAGGGCAGUAAUGCAGCUAACGCAUUAAGCAUCCCGCCUGGGGAGUACGGUCGCAAGAUUAAAACUCAAAGGAAUAGACGGGGACCCGCACAAGCGGUGGAGCAUGUGGUUUAAUUCGAAGAUACGCGAAGAACCUUACCUAG